CCUGUUUAUCUGCUUCAGGGUGUGGCUGCAUCAUAAAUUCACAGAGACCGGAGCAUUCCCUCAGAGGUAGACUUGCUGAGGCAACAGUGUUGAUCCUGUUAAACCUGAGAGCUUCACAAUGAGUGACCCAAAACCAGACGCAAAGCCACAGCAGGCAGGAAAGGGAGAGGGAUGCCCCGGAGACAAGGGGAAAGGAAAAGGCCACAAUAACGGCCAUGGACAUGGACAUGGUCAUGGACACGGCCAAGGCCAGGGUCAUGCACCUGGCAAAGACCAGGGAGAACACGGCAAAGGAAAAGGAGGAAAGUAACGCCGCUGAACGCCUCUGAAGUCCUGAUGGAAGCUACAUGUUUUUUUCACACUUAAAUAUAUGUCAUGGAAAAUUAAACAUAAUUAAAGUAAUAGAAUUAAAAUGUAUAAUUACUCAGUCACUAUGUAUUUGUCUUCAUUUUGCGGAAAAUAUUUCAAAAGGAUGGCUUUGGGCUUGAAGAAUGUCUUCAAUGCAUUCAAAUGUACAAAAGUAGGGACAGAACGUCAAUGUUGUCCAGCAGAAUGGGUGUGUGCAGAACAUGGUGGGUGUGUCGAGGUGAAGCUUGCAAGUAAUGCAGCUGUAGGUAAUGGAGCUUUACUGGUUUUAAUGAUGUACUGCAGAACAAACUUUAUUCUGUUAUUAACUAUUCUGAUAACUGCAUGAUGUCUCUCCUCUCACAGUGGAGGUGAACAGCCUGCAGGCACAAUCUGUAAGCACACAAGGCAGGACAACACAUGUUUAGCUAAACUCUGAAUUGUAAAAGGUGGUGCUGAUUAAGUGUGUUGGUGUUAUAAAGAAAAACAAGCAGUUCAAUAAACGUGCUAAUCAACAA